GGAGUUAGCCGGUGCUUCUUCUGCGAGUAACGUCACAGAUGUAAGGUAUUAACUUACACCCUUUCCUCCUCGCUGAAAGUGCUUUACAACCCGAAGGCCUUCUUCACACACGCGGCAUGGCUGCAUCAGGGUUUCCCCCAUUGUGCAAUAUUCCCCACUGCUGCCUCCCGUAGGAGUCUGGGCCGUGUCUCAGUCCCAGUGUGGCUGAUCAUCCUCUCAGACCAGCUAGGGAUCGUCGCCUAGGUGAGCCUUUACCUCACCUACUAGCUAAUCCCACCUGGGCUUAUCCAUCAGCGCAAGGCCCGAAGGUCCCCUGCUUUCCCCCGUAGGGCGUAUGCGGUAUUAGCAGUCGUUUCCAACUGUUAUCCCCCACAAAUGGGCAAAUUCCCAGGCAUUACUCACCCGUCCGCCGCUCGUCAUCUUCAAAAGCAAGCUUUUGAAAUGUUACCGCUCGACUUGCAUGUGUUAGGCCUGCCGCCACGCGUCAUCUGAGCCGAGAUACAACUACUGA
rnacentral:rRNA from 1 species